UAAGCGGAGGAAAAGAAACUAACAAGGAUUCCCCUAGUAACUGCGAGCGAAGCGNGAAAAGCUCAAAUUUAAANUCUGGUGGUCUUUGGCCAUCCGAGUUGUAAUCUAGAGAAGCGUCUUCCGCGCUGGNCGUGCACAAGUCUCCUGGAACGGAGCGUCGUAGAGGGUGAGAAUCCCGUCUUUGGCAUGGACACACCAGGGCUUUUGUGAUGCGCUCUCGAAGAGUCGAGUUGUUUGGGAAUGCAGCUCAAAAUGGGUGGUGAACUCCAUCUAAAGCUAAAUAUUGGCGAGAGACCGAUAGCGAACAAGUACCGUGAGGGAAAGAUGAAAAGCACUUUGGAAAGAGAGUGAAACAGUACGUGAAAUUGUUGAAAGGGAAACGCUUGAAGUCAGUCGCGUCGACCGAGACUCAGCCUCGCCUCGGCUUGGUGUACUUCUCGGCCCGACGGGUCAGCAUCAAUUUCGCCUCUUGGAUAAUGGCGAGGGAAACGUGACACCUUUACGGUGUGUUAUAGUCUCUCGUCGCAUGCAAGGGUCGGGAUUGAGGAACUCAGCACGCGCCUUUGGGUGUCGGGGCUUUGCCUACGAUACGUGCUUAGGAUGUUGGCGUAAUGGCUUUAAACGACC
rnacentral:rRNA from 1 species